rnacentral:rRNA from 1 species
GAGUGCAGGCGGUUUCUUAAGUCUGAUGUGAAAGCCUUCGGCUCAACCGAAGAAGUGCAUCGGAAACUGGGAGACUUGAGUACAGAAGAGGGCAGUGGAACUCCAUGUGUAGCGGUGGAAUGCGUAGAUAUAUGGAAGAACACCAGUGGCGAAGGCGGCUGCCUGGUCUGUAACUGACGCUGAGACUCGAAAGCAUGGGUAGCGAACAGGAUUAGAUACCCUGGUAGUCCAUGCCGUAAACGAUGAGUGCUAGGUGUUGGAGGGUUUCCGCCCUUCAGUGCCGGAGCUAACGCAUUAAGCACUCCGCCUGGGGAGUACGACCGCAAGGUUGAAACUCAAAGGAAUUGACGGGGGCCCGCACAAGCGGUGGAGCAUGUGGUUUAAUUCGAAGCUACGCGAAGAACCUUACCAGGUCUUGACAUCUUGCGCCAACCCUAGAGAUAGGGCGUUCCCUUCGGGGACGCAAUGACAGGUGGUGCAUGGUCGUCGUCAGCUCGUGUCGUGAG